GCGCCGCAGUGGUACACGCCAAAAUGCAAAUUUGGAGACGCACCCAAAUAGGUGCCGGGGCUUCUCCCGUUUUUUACUAGACGGGAGAAGG
rnacentral:tRNA from 1 species